rnacentral:rRNA from 1 species
GACGAACGCUGGCGGCGUGCUUAACACAUGCAAGUCGAACGCUGACGCGUGGUGCUUGCUCUCGGCGGAUGAGUGACGAACGGGUGAGUAAUACGAGAGUAACCUGCCCUUGACUCUGGCAUCGCCCAGGGAUACCGGGUCUCACACAGGAUACGCCAUGUCACCGCAUGGUUGUUUGUGGAUAGCGCUUUACUGGCUUUGGAUGGGCGCACGGCCUAUCAGCGUGUUGGUGGGGUAACGGCUCACCAAGCCGACGGCGGUUAGCCGGCAUGAGAGGUUGGCCGGCGACACUGGGACUGCGACACGGCCCAGACUCGUACGGGAGGCAGCAGUGGGGAAUAUUGCACAAUGAGCGGAAGUCUGAUGCGACGACGCCGGGUGUGUGAUGACGGCCUUGGAGUAGUAAACCUCUGUCAGCUAGGAAGAAGCGAAAGUGACGGUACGUGCAGAAGAAGCGCCGGCUAACUACGUG